rnacentral:lncRNA from 1 species
UCUCUGUUGUUACACGGGAAGAAGGAGAGGAGGAAGAUGACGGGAGGAAGAAGAAGAAGAAAGAAGAGAAAAAGAAAAAGAAAGACUGACAUGUGGGCCCCUGCACAGUAACAUUUUGUAUUUUCCCUAUUUAAUUCAAAUCCUAUUAUUUAGAAGCCCAUAUCUCCUAAACCGUAGAUCCGAUUCCAGUGAAACUUGGACCUAAAUUUAUCUAAAUUCAAACCCAAUCUUUUGACCCCAAAUUUGCUCUUUUAAUAUUUUAUUUGAAUUUAUUCAAAUACUGUUUGAAUUUAUGUUUGCCUUUUCAAAUAUUUCUUUUUAAUCCAAAAUACCCUUUAGCCACUAAAAAGCCGCCGGUUGGAACUUUACGCCUUCCAUAGCGACGUUCUCGGUUUACUAUCCCCGACAUCGGACCGUUGGUUGUAAAGCCAGGCAAAACCCAAACCCAAGGUCGAAGUGCUGCUCCUGGCACCCCACGCCUCGAUGCGUAUAGUGGUCGGAGCUUCACUAUUCCCUCGACCUCCACAGCACACCACACAGUUAGCUCUUGGGCUCUGUGUGAUCCUAGCCGCUCCGCCGCCACUCACGGUUGUCGGAGUAACACUUCCUCCCCACUAAACCCACACAAACCUCCUAUCCCUCUAGCCGUUAUACUCUAUGUUGACACCGGCUAGAGAAGAUACCAAUUCUAGUCAUUAUACUGCCCAACUCUAGCAACGACCAGCAAACACCUAAACCCUAGCUGAUAUUUAUCCUACCUCAAUCAGCUUGCUAUCCAGACCCCACGCCAGCUAGAAUAUCAUCACAACCAUUUACCCUCCAACUACCUAUAACCUAUACAUGAAAUACGAGCCGAUAUGCUAUCCUAUUUCAGCAUCGACUCGAGAACAAGUAAAUCCUGGCCAUUCUUCUACCAAAGCCCAACUUCAGCCAAUACUAGCCCAAUAAUCCCAAGACCCUAUAAAAAAGAUAGGCUAUACCCUAAACCCUAGCCCUUCUAACCGUUUCUUGCUUUCUUGCUAUUUUAUGGCUUUUAUUGAAUUUGGUUCUUCCUCUUCUUCAGUAGAGUCUAUUAUAUUUGGAUGGUAACCUGUGGUAUUUCGAGCAUUGGAUAAUCAGGUUGCCUAUCUUGAAUUUAUUUGCGUUGGAGCAAGGCAAGUUAUUAUUCCUCUCCUUUGAGCAUUAUUAUCCUAUAUUCUAUAUCUCGAAUAUCUCAUGCAUUAGUCAUUCAUGAUUUUGAAUGCAUAACCUGAACAUAUAGCAAACCAGAUAUAUGCUAGCUUUUGCUUAGCCAUGCCUAGUUAGACUGCAUAAAAAUAUAAUGAACUUAGAUUGGAACAGUACGGUAGAAAUGGUUGAUUUCCGGGUGGCUAGUACUGUUCCAACCGAUAUAAGACAGCCAAGUACAUGUGAAGAACAUAUGAGUACGACCGCAAUUCUCGUAUGGGCAUAGACCUAGCUGAUUAAGUUAUCUAGCAAAGGUGGUACCUCUGUAUAGUGGUUCUUCUUAAGUCCUCGCGCAGGAGGCAAAUUUAUGCCGCGAAGGGCAAUUGUGAUAUUUACCGAGGCACAGGUAAAUAUAUGAGAUUUAUUGACGUCAACUUGUUUGUGAACCCUGAUUGCGAUGACAUGGUGUCAUACAAUCAGUUCUCUUUAAAGACCUCGGGAACGCCAGAACUCCUCUCGCUGCUAAUAACGUUACGUUCAGAGCGUAUGGGGACUAGAGUUCAUGGAACAAUUACCACUGAUGUUAGUAACCGAAAAGCUUUGCCAUGACAAGGCUAAUGUGUUUGGCACGUCAUGGAUUGCGGGUAAAGCGUACAUCUACUGCAGUAUGAAUAUUCUUAAAAACUAUUCGAAUAGUCGUGCUCACGGGUAUCGGGCAUUGGGACUCACAAUGGCAUCUUGGUUAGAAACAUAAUUCCAUAUUUUAUUAAAUACUAUUGCAUUACAAACAUCAUAGACUUUAUACUUCUACAUUCUCAGCCUUUCUGCAAGUAAACCUAGCUCUACACAGAUGUUACCAUUUCAUGCAUUCAUUGUUGAUUAAUAUAAUAGCUUGCUGAGUACGUUGUACUCACCCUUGCUUCAACCCCUCUUUUUCAGAGUCUAUUUGGAGUUUUUGCCGAAGCUGGGAAUUCAAUCACAUAAGUUAGUUUCAUUCUAACUUAAUUCGCAAAUAUAGAUUAGACAGAUGGUUUAAGUCUAUAGCCAAACAUUGGAGUUAAGUCAUUCUAUAGCUUUUGCUGUAAUAGUUAGCCACAACCUUGUAAAUACCCUAUUAUUUUAUAUAAAGAAAUCUCCUUUGGAGCCUUGAUCAAAUGUAUGCGAUAAAGAUCCAGAUUGUUUAACCUAUAUCAAUCUACUGAUUUAGGGCUUGAUACAGUUAAACAUGUCGGUUUCCGAAUCAUUAGUUCUGGGACCCAACACAAACC